rnacentral:rRNA from 2 species
UAGUGGCGAACGGGUGAGUAAUACGUGAGUAACCUACCUUUAACUCUGGGAUAAGCCUGGGAAACUGGGUCUAAUACCGGAUACGACCAAUCUCCGCAUGGGGUGUUGGUGGAAAGCGUUAUGUAGUGGUUAUAGAUGGGCUCACGGCCUAUCAGCUUGUUGGUGAGGUAACGGCUCACCAAGGCGACGACGGGUAGCCCGCCUGAGAGGGUGACCGGCCACACUGGGACUGAGACACGGCCCAGACUCCUACGGGAGGCAGCAGUGGGGAAUAUUGCACAAUGGGCGCAAGCCUGAUGCAGCGACGCCGCGUGAGGGAUGACGGCCUUCGGGUUGUAAACCUCUGUUAGCAGGGAAGAAGAGAGAUUGACGGUACCUGCAGAGAAAGCGCCGGCUAACUACGUGCCAGCAGCCGCGGUAAUACGUAGGGCGCGAGCGUUGUCCGGAAUUAUUGGGCGUAAAGAGCUUGUAGGCGGUUUGUCGCGUCUGCUGUGAAAGGCCGGAGCUUAACUCCGUGUAUUGCAGUGGGUACGGGCAGACUAGAGUGCAGUACGGGAGACUGGAAUUCCUGGUGUAACGGUGGAAUGCGCAGAUAUCACGACGAACACCCAUGGCGAAGGCAGGUCUCUGGGCCGUAACUGACGCUGAAAAGCGAAACCAUGGGGGAGCCAACAGGAUUAGAUACCCCUGGUAGUCCAUGCCGGUAAACAGUAUGGGCACUAGGUCCUGGGGGAACACUGCUCCACGUUUUCCGUCGCCCUUAGCUAUACGUCAUUUAAGUGCCCCUGCCUGGUGGAGUACAGGCCCGCAACGGCUGAAAUACUCAAAGAAAUUGUACGGGGAGCCCGGCAAUAAGCGGAGGGAAGCGGAUGCGAACUAAUUUCCAUGCAACGCGAAGAACCUUACCAAGGCUUGACAUAUACUGGAUCGCAUCAGAGAUGGUGUUUCCCUUCGGGGCUGGUAUACAGGUGGUGCAUGGUUGCGUCAGCUCGUGUCGUGAGAUGUUGGGUUAAGUCCCGCAACGAGCGCAACCCUCGUUCUAUGUUGCCAGCACGUUAUGGUGGGGACUCAUAGGAGACUGCCGGGGUCAACUCGGAGGAAGGUGGGGAUGACGUCAAAUCAUCAU